UGAGGAAUAUUGGUCAAUGGUCGGGAGACUGAACCAGCCAAGCCGCGUGAGGGAGGAAGGUACAGAGUAUCGUAAACCUCUUUUGUCGGGGAGCAAUGCCGGGCACGCGUGCCCGGAGGGAGAGUACCCGCAGAAUAAGCAUCGGCUAACUCCGUGCCAGCAGCCGCGGUAAUACGGAGGAUGCGAGCGUUAUCCGGAUUUAUUGGGUUUAAAGGGUGCGUAGGCGGUCCGUUAAGUCAGCGGUAAAAUUGCGGGGCUCAACCCCGUCGAGCCGUUGAAACUGGCAGACUUGAGUUGGCGAGAAGUACGCGGAAUGCGCGGUGUAGCGGUGAAAUGCAUAGAUAUCGCGCAGAACUCCGAUUGCGAAGGCAGCGUACCGGCACCAGACUGACGCUGAGGCACGAAAGCGUGGGGAUCGAACAGG
rnacentral:rRNA from 1 species